rnacentral:misc_RNA from 1 species
GAUGAAGAACGCAGUGAAAUGCGAUAAGUAGUGUGAAUUGCAGAAUUCAGUGAAUCAUCGAAUCUUUGAACGCACAUUGCGCCCCUUGGUAUUCCAUGGGGCAUGCCUGUUCGAGCGUCAUUUGUACCCUCCAGCCCUGCUGGGUAUUGGGCGUUUUGUUCCGCUACGCGCGUGAACUCGCCUCAAAUGCAUUGGCAGCCCGCCGUCCCGUGUGGGAGCGCAGCACAUUUUGCGCUCUCCGCUGCUGACGGUGGAAUCCACAAGUCUACCAUUUUACGCUUGACCUCGGAUCAGGUAGGGAUACCCGCUGAACUUAAGCAUAUCAAUAAGCGGAGGA